AGUGAACGCUGGCGGUAGGCCUAACACAUGCAAGUCGAACGGCAGCACAGAGGAGCUUGCUCCUUGGGUGGCGAGUGGCGGACGGGUGAGGAAUACAUCGGAAUCUACUCUGUCGUGGGGGAUAACGUAGGGAAACUUACGCUAAUACCGCAUACGACCUACGGGUGAAAGCAGGGGACCUUCGGGCCUUGCGCGAUUGAAUGAGCCGAUGUCGGAUUAGCUAGUUGGCGGGGUAAAGGCCCACCAAGGCGACGAUCCGUAGCUGGUCUGAGAGGAUGAUCAGCCACACUGGAACUGAGACACGGUCCAGACUCCUACGGGAGGCAGCAGUGGGGAAUAUUGGACAAUGGGCGCAAGCCUGAUCCAGCCAUGCCGCGUGGGUGAAGAAGGCCUUCGGGUUGUAAAGCCCUUUUGUACGGAACGAAAAGCCCCGGGUUAAUACCCUGGGGUCAUGACGGUACCGUAAGAAUAAGCACCGGCUAACUACGUGCCAGCCGCCGCGGUAA
rnacentral:rRNA from 1 species